GGAGUUUGGGCCGUGUCUCAGUCCCAAUGUGGCCGAUCACCCUCUCAGGUCGGCUACUGAUCGUCGCCUUGGUGGGCCGUUACCUCACCAACUAGCUAAUCAGACGCGGGUCCAUCUUAUGCCGAUAAAUCUUUUACCUCAGAACCAUGCGGUCCCGUGGUCUUAUGCGGUAUUAGCAGUCAUUUCUAACUGUUAUCCCCCAGCCUAAGGCAGGUUACCCACGCGUUACUCACCCGUCCGCCACUAAGUCAGUUCGUUUCGCUGCCGAAGCUUUGAAACGAAAUGCUUCGUUCGACUUGCAUGUGUUAAGCACGCCGCCAGCGUUCAUC
rnacentral:rRNA from 1 species